UGGGGAAUAUUGUACAAUGGGCGCAAGCCUGAUCCAGCCAUGCCGCGUGAGUGAAGAAGGCCUUGGUUGUAAAGCUCUUUCAGUCGUGACGAUGAUGACGGUAGCGACAGAAGAAGCCCCGGCUAACUCCGUGCCAGCAGCCGCGGUAAUACGGAGGGGGUUAGCGAUGUUCGGAAUUACUGGCCGAAAAGCGCGCGUAGGCGGACUAUUAAGUCAGGGGUGAAAUCCCGGGGCUCAACCCCGGAACUGCCUUUGAUACUGGUAGUCUAGAGUUCGAGAGAGGUGAGUGGAAUUCCGAGUGUAGAGGUGAAAUUCGUAGAUAUUCGGAGGAACACCAGUGGCGAAGGCGGCUCACUGGCUCGAUACUGACGCUGAGGUGCGAAAGUGUUGGGAGCAAACAGGAUUAGAUACCCGUGUAGUCC
rnacentral:rRNA from 1 species